rnacentral:rRNA from 1 species
GAUGAACGCUAGCGACAGGCUUAACACAUGCAAGUCGAGGGGCAGCAUGGCUUUGGUUUACUAAAGCUGAUGGCGACCGGCGCACGGGUGAGUACCGCGUAUGCAACUUACCUGUCAGUAGGGCAUAACCCGGCGAAAGUCGGACUAAUUCCCUAUGAUACAGUUUUACCGCCUGGUAUGAUUGUUAAAGAUUUAUUGCUGACAGAUGGGCAUGCGUUCCAUUAGGUUGUUGGUGAGGUAACUGCUCACCAAGCCUUCGAUGGAUCGGGGAAUUGAGAGGUUGGUCCCCCACACUGGAACUGAGACACGGUCCAGACUCCUACGGGAGGCAGCAGUGAGGAAUAUUGGUCAAUGGGCGAAUGCCUGAACCAGCCAAGUCGCGUGAAGGAUGAAGGAUCUAUGGUUCGUAAACUUCUUUUAUUGGGGAAUAAUUUGCGGGACGUGUCCUGUAUUGUAUGUACCCAUUGAAUAAGGAUCGGCUAACUCCGUGCCAGCAGCCGCCGUAACAC